rnacentral:rRNA from 1 species
GAUGAACGCUAGCGGCAGGCUUAACACAUGCAAGUCGAGGGGUAACAGGAAAAGCUUGCUUUUCGCUGACGACCGGCGCACGGGUGCGUAACGCGUAUGCAACCUACCUCUUACAGGGGGAUAGCCCGAAGAAAUUCGGAUUAAUACCCCAUAGUAUUCUUAAAUCGCAUGGUUUGAGAAUUAAAACUCCGGUGGUAAGAGAUGGGCAUGCGUCCUAUUAGUUUGUUGGUGAGGUAACGGCUCACCAAGACUGCGAUAGGUAGGGGGCCUGAGAGGGUGACCCCCCACACUGGUACUGAGACACGGACCAG